rfam:Callithrix jacchus chromosome 4, whole genome shotgun sequence
ACAAAGGCUCUUUUCAGAGCCACUGAGGUUCUCAUGGAAAUAGCUG